GAUGAACGCUGGCGGCGUGCCUAACACAUGCAAGUCGAACGGACUUACAUUGAAGCCUAGCGAUAUGUAAGUUAAUGGCGGACGGGUGAGUAACGCGUGGGUAACCUGCCUUGUACUGGGGGACAACAGUUGGAAACGACUGCUAAUACCGCAUAAGCGCACAGCUUCGCAUGAAGCAGUGUGAAAAACUCCGGUGGUACAAGAUGGACCCGCGUCUGAUUAGCUGGUUGGUGAGGUAACGGCCCACCAAGGCGACGAUCAGUAGCCGGCCUGAGAGGGUGAACGGCCACAUUGGGACUGAGACACGGCCCAAACUCCUACGGGAGGCAGCAGUGGGGAAUAUUGCACAAUGGGGGAAACCCUGAUGCAGCGACGCCGCGUGGAGGAAGAAGGUUUUCGGAUUGUAAACUCCUGUCGUUAGGGACGAUAAUGACGGUACCUAACAAGAAAGCACCGGCUAACUACGUG
rnacentral:rRNA from 1 species